UGACUUACUGGUUAAGGGCCUUGGCUGCUAACCAAAAGGUCGGUAGUUCAAAUCUACC
rnacentral:tRNA from 1 species